rnacentral:lncRNA from 14 species
UGCAAAGAGCUCCUCUGCAAAUGUGCACAUUGAUCAUUCCUAAUCAGACCAACCAGGUCAGGGGUGCUGCAGAGAUGGAGAACACUGAAAAAGCUGACAAAUGAAGCAGCGGAGCUUGGGGGUUAAUGCAAUAUUCAAACAGAAUGAGAUCUUAAUAAGCAGUGGAACUGGAAAGGGAAAGUGAAGAAGAUAGUUAUUUUUUCAGUAACUGCAGUCAUCUUGAGUAAAAUUGCUAUUGUCUCAGUACCAUCUUUGGAACACUUGCUGGCAGCUUCCACAACAGAUGAUGAAGCUCAAAUGGUCUCUUCAGAUUGUUAAACAUUCCAAGAUGCUUUGGUAGUAGCUGAACAUGGCCCUUUCCUCUGCUUCCUUACGUGAUGCUGAAGAAAUCCCAACAAUGGAAAACUGAUUUAGUGAAAAGUU